GCGUUUGUCAUUUGGGAAAGGUGUUGGAUUUGCUCUCAGGGAAUAUGCUGCCAAGAUAUCAACUCCUGGAGCAGUAAUAUCUGGCUACAAAUAUUUGUAUAUGUAAUGUUCAAGAAAGUUCAUUAAAACGAAAUUAAUCAUGGGUUUAAAGAAAAUGUAUAUAUAUAUAUAUAGAUACCCUGUACCUUAAGAAUGUCUGGACUAAUUUUAACAGGUCCCCUACUUGAGAAGUCAGCUACAAUGGGAGCUUUUGGAUCAUGAAUGCCUAUGCUUUGAUGUAUUUUUCCUGUUGGAUUUCUG
rnacentral:lncRNA from 1 species